rnacentral:snRNA from 1 species
AGAGUGAGGGCGAUCUGGCUGCAACAUCUGUCACCCCAUUGAUCACCAGGGUUGAUUCAACUGAUCUGGCUGGUUAGGUGGGUGUCCCUCUCCUCCUUCACUGAUCCAUGUGCAUCCCUCCCAAAGCUGCAUGCUUGGUUGAAGAAGACAACCUUCCCCCCAAAGGAGAGGACUGGUCUUUUGUCAAGGUUAUAUGAGUAGCUGCACUCUCCUGCUAGAACCUCCAAACAAGCUCUCAAACAGGUUCUUGAUCCUUUACUCACUCUCUUCUCCUCCUGGUAUCCCUAAGAAGCAGAUGUUAUUAACACUUGCUAUUUU